rnacentral:rRNA from 1 species
AGAGUUUGAUCAUGGCUCGAGGACAACGCUGGCGGCGUGCUUCAUACAUGCAAGUCGAACGAUAAGGUCUCUUCGGAGAUACAUAAGUGGCGGACGGGUGAGUAAUAUGUAGAGAAUCUGCCCUAGAGUGGGGGACAACAGUUGGAAACGACUGCUAAUACCGCAUAUGCGCGUACCUGUGAUGGUAUUCGUGAAAACUCCGGUGCUCUGGGAUGAGUCUGCAUCUGAUUAGCUAGUUGGGGGUGUAAUGGACCACCAAGGCGACGAUCAGUAGCUGGUUUGAGAGGAUGAUCAGCCACAAUGGGACUGAGACACGGCCCAUACUCC